GGACCCUUCCUUGGGGCAGGGGGAGGAGCGGUGACCCGGAGGGGACGCAGGCACCGUCCCCAGCCAGGUCAGCCUUAGACGCGGCGCCCAGGGCCGCAGCGCUGGCGAAGCCCUGCUAGUGGCCUCCCUUUACAGCAGAGAAAAAGGAGGCGCAGAGCCUUUAGGGACCCGACCAAAGGCCCCGAGCAAGUGGCUGCACUGCGACGAGAACUCGGGGGCCAGACGUCUCAAGCCACUUCCCCGGAACCACGCCAUUUUAGGAAAAGCAAGACAGGGUCUCACUGUGUAGUUCGAACUGGCCUUGAACUCACUAUGAAGCCUACACUGAUUCUAGCGAUUCUCCUGCCUCGGCCUCCUGAGUGCUGGGAUUACAGAUGCACCUGCCUGGAGCCCGCGGGGCGCAGAGAAAACCCUGCGUGGGUCGCGAGGGCUCUACCCCUGAGCCGCCCACACCUGGUCGGGCAGCCCCAGGGCUGCAGAGCUCUGCCUUUCCUGUUCUCUAAGUGUGAUCACACUGCAGGGCCUGGCUGGAACUUCAAUGCGGGGCUGACACCGUAGCCUGUUUGGGUCCCUGGAUGCCCGUUCAAGACCACAAAGCAACAAGCACAGUCCCAGAUCACCUGGCUGGGGAGAGUGGACAGGGAGUGACAUCCUUGGGUCCUGCCUGCCAGACUCCUGGCCCAAUAAACAGGACUAAACCUUCGACCUUCACAAGCUGCCUGCUCAAGC